rnacentral:rRNA from 1 species
UAGGGAAUCUUCCGCAAUGGGCGAAAGCUUGACGGAGCAACGCCGCGUGAGUGAUGAAGGUCUUCGGAUCGUAAAACUCUGUUAUUAGGGAAGAACAAAUGUGUAAGUAACUAUGCACGUCUUGACGGUACCUAAUCAGAAAGCCACGGCUAACUACGUGCCAGCAGCCGCGGUAAUACGUAGGUGGCAAGCGUUAUCCGGAAUUAUUGGGCGUAAAGCGCUCGUAGGCGGUUUUUUAAGUCUGAUGUGAAAGCCCACGGCUCAACCGUGGAGGGUCAUUGGCAACUGGAACAAUUGAGUGCAGAAGAGGAAAGUGGAAUUCCAUGUGUAGCGGUGAAAUGCGCAGAGAUAUGGAGGAACACCAGUGGAGAAGGCGACUUUCUGGUCUGUAACUGACGCUGAUGUGCGACAGCGUGGGGAUCAAACAGG